rnacentral:snRNA from 1 species
UGGAUGUGAGGCCAAUCUGGCUGGGACAUCUGCCACCCCAUGGAUCUCCAGGGUUGAUUCGGCUGAUCUGGCUGGCUAGGCUGGUGUCCCCUUCCUCCCUCACCACUCCUUGUGUGUCUGUCCCGAAGCUGUGCACUCUAAUGAAGAGGACGACCAUCCCAGACAGAGGAGGACCAGUCUUUGUUCUAGGAUUUCUUUUUCCUAAUGACUUGCUCAUUUGCCAAACUGGCACUAAUGCAAGAA